CCCCUGCCAGCGGCUCUGGGGAGUGCAGAGGGCUGACCCUGUGUACCUAUUCUGGAGGAGACAACCAGGCCAAGCUUGAUUGUAUCAGUAUGCUUAUCAGGUCUUGUAAACACAUUUUAAGUGUAGAAUGAGGAGAGCAGUUUAUACUGGGAGAACCCAGAGCUGCCCUUUGGAGAAUGUGGCACCAAAGUAGGCCUUGGUGAACACUGAGACUCUUCACCAAAGAAGCAGCCCUUGUGGGGCAUCCUGAUUUGAGCCAUAAGUCAGUGCUUGGGAGGCCCCCCCCCAAAAAAGAAAUAACCCCUUGCCUUGUUCUUCUUAAUAAGGGCAUUCUAAAUACCUUUGUUGGAAAUGCUUACAAAAAUGUCUGGCUCGAAGUUGGGUUGGAAGCCACGGAAACACGGAACAUGCUGUCACCUGGAACUCCAGUGUCCUCAGAGGCCCACGUUUCCCCAGGCUGCUGCCAUUAGCAGAGGGUAGAACCUUUAAGGGGUAGGGCCUACUGAGAGGUUUCAAGUAGUGGAAGCCUGGCUUAAAGAGGACUGAGGGUCCCUGGUCUGCUCUUUCUCUUUUCCAUUCCUGGCCAUGAGGUGAACCAGCGUCCUCUGCCAUGUCCCCCCGCCAUGAUGUACCGCCUUACUACAUGCUCCCAAGCAACGGGACCCACAGAAUGUGAGUAAUUGCGCUGUCUGGCUCCAGAUUCCGUGGGGAGGUAGAGGUGGGAGUGGAUGGAGAAGCUUAAUUCAAGGUCUGAAGGGCGUCCUCUUCCUCUAGACAGAAGCCAGGAGGCAUGCAUGAAAAUCCAGAGGAAGCAUCCUCACUCUUCCCUGAUCAGGUAUUUCCAGUAUGUGCACCGAAUGCCGAUCUGCUCUUGCUCUCAGGCACCACUGGUCUCUGCCCUCAGGGGGCCAGUCAGUGUUGUCACCAGCCAGCUCUGAUGGAGACCUGCAGAGUCCUAACAGCGCUCCCGUCCUUGUGCCUCUACGUCUGAUCCACCUCUUGAGUUUUUAAUCAUUGCAAUCACCAGCCCUGUUUUCUCUCUCCAUUUCCAUGCCUGCCAUUUUCACUGUUCACCCCUGGACAGCAGAAAGUUUCCUAGGCUACUGCCACCUACUUCUCCCCCUCGUCCAAUAAUGCACAAUAAUAAUGAUACUAAUUGAUGCUGAA